rnacentral:rRNA from 1 species
UGAAGAGUUUGAUCAUGGCUCAGAUUGAACGCUGGCGGCAGGCUUAACACAUGCAAGUCGAGCGGUAACAGAUCUAGCUUGCUAGAUGCUGACGAGCGGCGGACGGGUGAGUAAUGCUUAGGAAUCUGCCCAGUAGUGGGGGACAACAAUCGGAAACGGUUGCUAAUACCGCAUACGCCCUACGGGGGAAAGCAGGGGAUCUUCGGACCUUGCGCUAUUGGAUGAGCCUAAGUCGGAUUAGCUAGUUGGUAGGGUAAAGGCCUACCAAGGCGACGAUCCGUAGCUGGUCUGAGAGGAUGAUCAGCCACAUCGGGACUGAGACACGGCCCGAACUCCUACGGGAGGCAGCAGUGGGGAAUAUUGGACAAUGGGGGCAACCCUGAUCCAGCCAUGCCG